CAGUCGUACUUGCGGGCAAUCAGCCUUUUGGGUGUGAUUAUGUGGGGCGUGAGGAGUUAAUCACCCUCAUCUUUGCAUAUUCGUGCACUUUGGGUGUACUUGCUCGUGUGGUAGGCUAACAUCAAUUUUGGUCAUCAUAAAAUGGCUGGAGGAAUGUAGCUUUCGGUCUCGUAUUUGAAGUGUUAUAGCCUUUGGUAGACGUGAUGGAUUGGGAUUGAGGAUUGCAACGGAUACCCUUCGGGCUACCUGACUGAUCUCUGAAGGUUGCUCCGGUACCGAAAGCGUGCUUACGGUCA
rnacentral:rRNA from 1 species